rnacentral:lncRNA from 1 species
CAACUGUGUGUUGAGCUUACGGCCUUACUUUGCUUUUAUCCUCUUUCUCUUCAGCUCGAUGAAAUCAAAACUAGAACAAAAAUNNNNNNNNNNNNNNNNNNNNNNNNNNNNNNNNNNNNNNNNNNNNNNNNNNNNNNNNNNNNNNNNNNNNNNNNNNNNNNNNNNNNNNNNNNNNNNNNNNNNNNNNNNNNNNNNNNNNNNNNNNNNNNNNNNNNNNNNNNNNNNNNNNNNNNNNNNNNNNNNNNNNNNNNNNNNNNNNNNNNNNNNNNNNNNNNNNNNNNNNNNNNNNNNNNNNNNNNNNNNNNNNNNNNNNNNNNNNNNNNNNNNNNNNNNNNNNNNNNNNNNNNNNNNNNNNNNNNNNNNNNNNNNNNNNNNNNNNNNNNNNNNNNNNNNNNNNNNNNNNNNNNNNNAAAACAUACAUCAACGUCAUGUUUAGCUACUCAUUUCUGAAACAACUUCGGUAGAAACUCAGUUUUACUAAUCCUUGGCCUCACUGAAUGGGUGCAGAAUAUCUCGAAUUUUUGGAUCUCUGGUUUGGCCUUAUUUUAGUAGAGGCUGGUCUUUUUAAAUUCUCAAAAAUCAAAAUUUGGCAGGCAACCAUGCUGCCUAAGUUGGCUAUAAUUUGCGGUAUGGCCUCUUCCUCUUCGUUUUUUUACAUUUAAAGGAUAGAGUUUUGCAAUAUGUUCUAUUUAUUCCAAUUUCCAAAACCAUCAGAUAUGCUAUUUAUUUUCCUUAGAUAAUAAGCUAAUAUUUAUGAUUAAUCAGUAAUAGAUUGAUCCAGUGUUCCAAAAAUCAGAAAUAGGCCCUGACUGACCAAGGUUCGAUUCUGAUUCGACCCAUUUGACCUGGACAAUUCUAGAGUCGUGUCAAGCUGUAUUUAGCAAAGAAAUUAUAAAAUGAAACUAAAAACUGGAGAUUUAGCUGAUUCCUAGUUCCUAGAACCAUAAUCAUCUAACUAAUGAUCCUAAUCAGUGAUCAGAAACUUGGCCUAGUCCACUCAGACUUGGCUGACUUACUCGGACUCGGCUCCUUGCUGAGCCAAGUACUCGGGCAAAAAUCGAGGUAAUUAAAAAAAAUUAUUAAAAUUAUAUGAAAUUGUGGAAUCAAUAUAUAAAUAUUUUAUAUAUGAUUUGAAUUCUCUCGAUUAUAAUUUAUGAGUUUUUCUUAUCAUAUGCCCUACUUUUAUAUUUUCCAUUUCUUUUGGAUUUUCUGAAAUAUCUCCAACAAUAAACCAGUUUUUCUAAAUCCAUGUUUUACAUAUUUAUUCAGCUUAUUUAGAAUGUUUAUGUUGUUUUCGAUUCAGUUUAAUUUUUGACUAAUAUAUUUGCCUUGAACACUACUCGGGCGAGUCCACUAGACUUGCCCAAGUAAGUCAGAUAAGGCCGAGUCCAGGGCCCAAGCCGAGCUCCAGAACAUUGAUCCCUAUCAAUCUCAGGCGAUUCCUAGUCGGAAUACUAAAGUUUCAAUCAGUAAUUGGAUCUAACCUUCUUUUUUUUUGUGCCUACAAAAUUUCAGGCUACUUAUCUUGAAGAGGUUUUAAGAGAAGGAUUCUCUCAUCCAUCUAUAAAUGGGAUAAUGCUAUGGACUGCUCUACACCCAAAUGGAUGCUAUCAAAUGUGCCUCACUGAUAACAAUCUUCACAACCUACCAACUGGUGUUGUGGUAGACAAGCUUCUUAAGGAGUGGGAAACCAAAGAGGUAAAGGGUUUGACAGGUGAUCGUGGGUCCUUUGAUUUUCAAGCAUUUUUGGGGGAGUACAAAGUAAUUGCCACAUUUGGUGCUAAAACAGUGGAGUCAAGCUUGUCUGUUUGCCAAGGUGAUGAAACCUUACACAUGAUCAUUCCAAUAUAGUUAAGAGAUGAUUGAAAUGAUUAAUCUUCGAAAAAAAGAGAUAUUCGAAAGGCUUAUUGGAUGCUUUAAAGAAAAAAAUGAGCUUCUUUCCUAACAGAAAAAAAAGAAGAGAAAAAAAAGCAGAGGAGUUUAUGUGAGAGUGGUCAACUGCUAUGCCUUAAGAAUUUGUCCCUCUUGCAAAAACAUGUUUAUCUAACCCCACUUCCAAAAAGGAUGAGGUGAUUUAUUGGCUCUUUUAAUGUGAGUUUGUUGAUUUGGCUAGGUGGUUUUGUGUUGGGCUUUCAACCAAUCUAAAGUAAACUACUCUCAUUUUUCUUUUUCUUUUUUGGAUAAUUCAAUAGGGAAUACAGGCCCUAACCUUUUUCAAAUAGUUUAGGAGUGAGUUUUUUGAUGGUAUUAGUUGGGUGGUGUCGGCAACGUGGUGAUUAGGGUGUGAGAGUGCUACCACCACGACCCAGCCCCUUUCCCCACUAACCAUCUUCAUUUUUCAUUAGAUUUCUUUGGCAAGAGAUGAGUGGUCUUGACUAACUUUUGCGCUCAUACUUUUCUCUGGUUCACUCUUUUGAAUUAUCAAACAUAUUCAUUUUAAGAAAAAAAAGUUAACACUAAUACAGGAAAAAUGCCAAAAGAUCAUAUACUCUGGUGGGAGUAUAUUUAAGAGUCACUCCCUCGGGUAAAACUUUACAAAGUUUCUUUAUGAUUCUAAAUAAUGGGAUAUCACCUCUUCAACCUAGCAACCAACCUAAAAAAUGAAAAUCAUGCGCCUUAUAUGUUUGGCUGAAAAAAAAUAAAAUUCCUAAGAUUGAAAUGUCCAAUUUUCUUCAGGCUAAGAAUAUAGGGCUCAAACUCUAAUUUUAAUUUAUGGAAUACUCAUCUAGUGAUUUUAAAGUGCAUUGAUUGAGACAAUCCUCCUUAAUAAGACUUUUUCCUGAGGGAUUAGAUAUACAGCAUGCACCGCCAGAACAUGAUAUACGUGCUCAAAAAAUUUAUGAAGUAUAUGGUAUAGCACUUCCAAGAGCAGCUAAUACAUAAGAGUUAUUUAGCAAGGCCGAGGCCCUAUACAAUCAAAGUAGGGCACAUCUACAAAUGGUGCCAAGAUAUAUUGUUUUAGUAUCAUAAAUUUUUAUGAUGGCCUGGAGUUUUAUUUUCAUAUCUGAUUAUAAAAUCAAAGUUUAAAAAUGGUGUAGAUCGAGCAAAUCUAUAAACAUUUGAAAAUUUUGAAAAUUGACGAUCUAAAUAAUACAUUACUAUAUGCACUAUUUUCACGACUUGAAAUCUAUUGUUUUUCAUGUCCACACAUCUAUUUUUCAGCAUCAAAUAACCUUUUCUAAUGAAUUUGAGGUGUGCCUUAAUUUGAUUGUUUAGGGCCUCACCCUUAUAUAACCUUUUUCUUUCCUGUUAUGGCCAUAUCACACUUGGUAGACCCCUAGAAUUUAGACGGCAAACAAGGUCUCAGUAUUUAGGGAAAAGAUAUGGAGGAUCACGCUGUCCAUUUGUUCUCUCAGCUAAAGGCAGAAGUAUUUUGGGAUUCCAAAAUUUAAGGAUGUAGUAUCUUAAAUACAAAGACGGAAAAAUAACGGUCCAGGUCUGAAUGAGACCAUCAAUUAUUUGGAUGGCAAGAUUUAAGUUUUUGAGAACUCAAAAGUUUUUAUUUUUUUCCCGAAAAUCCAUAUUUUCUCCAUGCUCUCACCAAUUGAAAAUGACAUUCAGACCCGGUAAUUGAGGAUGAAUUAAUUGAUAUGUGUAGAAAGGGAGAGAGGGUUGUGGGGCACAAGAAAAUGCAAUGGUCGGGGUAGGUGUCUGAAUGUCAACUGAAUUGGUGGUCACUAGGACCACAAGUCACUGCCUUGGCAUUCAUGAUACAAUUUGUCCACUAUAAGUUCAGAACUUUUGAAACCAACAACCGAAAAUUUUAAGCGUGAAAUUUCUCCAAGGGAUUGUAUAUUAUAAGACCCUUGUUUAGUACAAGGAUGUCACAAUUAUUUUUACGAAUUGGAUGUGAAAUGGAAUUGACGCGUGCCACAAUAUUUGAAAAUUUUUAUUAUCGACUUUAUGCCCAAACAAUGACUCAUCCCCAACUACUCAACUCUAUAUCUAAAAACCAAUAAUGAUUAAGAUCUUCCUUUACCAAAAAUAAAUAGUCUCAUUAUAUUUUCAUAAAUUUAUUGUAUAUACUUCAUUUAUCAAAAUACCCCAAAACUUUUAACAAUUUAAUAAUUUACCUUCUCUUCUUAUUUCUGAUGAUGUAAUUGUUUUUGUGUAAUUUUUCUAUCAAUAAAACCUUGAAAAUUAGUGAAAAAGAAAAUUACACUUUUCUACUCAUGAUAAUUUGUUAUUUGAUCAUUUCCCUUAUCAAAUUACAUGGGAGUGAUUUACUUUUGGUAAUAACCUUCGUUUGGGGUAUACGGUUAGCAUGCCGGUGGUCUCGUGUACCAAAAUGUACAUUUGUCCUACGUGCACAAAUACCAUAUCCGGGGGAACUUAUUUGACUUGAAAUUUUGAAAGUCCUCUUUCAUUCUUAACGCAACAAUUGUAUGUGCAUUUGUGUAAGCUAAUAGCAUGUACAAUGCUCUAUGUUAUCAUAAAAGAAUGUUUAAUUUACGACACACAAUAGAAUAGGUUUUAUUGCUUUAUUUGGAUGUUAAGACACUCAAGAUUAUUGUAAUAAGAUUUCAAUAUUCUAUCAAGUUGUCAUAACAUUUUAAUUAAUUUACAAAGAUUUGCUGCUCCUGCUAGAGCGUACUGUGCAGUUGCUUCCUCAGGUAAAAUUAAUGUUAGGAGUAUUUUGUAGACACAUAAUAACCAAAGGAAAAGAAAAGAAAUUAAAUAGAACUCUGUAUGUGCCUCCCCUUAAAUAAUUAACAUUGAUUGAACAAGAACCGUCAAAUUUUUGGAGGGCAAGAUCUAAGUGUUCAAGAACUCUAUUCACUUAUUUAUUUAUUUAUAUAAACAAUCUCUUGAUGAUAUUUAGAUGGAUCCCAAAAUUUUGAAUUAAAAAAAACCCUCUCAGUUACUCUUUUGCUUCAGGGAGUUGUUGUACGGUAUUUAUUGAGUUCUAUCUGAUCUAGUUUCUAUAAAGCCUAGCUUUAUGAAAACAAAGUAAAGCCUCACCUCGAAUCCUCGUCUUGAAAGCACUUUGGGUAUUGGAAAUCUCCAUGAUGGCUCUAAAAUCAAUUUCUAACAUUGAAAAAUUUAAAGCUAAAAACAUGGUACAGAUCUUGCAGACCCCAUAAACACUUAUUUUUAUGUUGGAAUGGACGAUCUAGAUAAUGUGUUACAAUAUACACUAUUUUUAGAGGCUUUAAAUCCUUUUUUUUUUACAACUAUAAUGUUUAAGGCCGAGAUGAUGGAUUUGAAGGUUUCAUGACGUAAGAAUAACUAUUUUCAGUUAGUUUUAUGGUGAGGCUUUACUUAUUUUGAUAGGGCUGCAUAUGUAUCAAUGUUAUUUCAAUCAUAGAAUCCAAGUUGUUUCAGACAUGGAUCAUUCUCAAUAAUAGUUCAAGUAUUUGUCUUCAUGACUCCUGGAAGAGAGUUGUAAUUUCAAUUAAAGAUUACUUACCAUCAUCAUAGUUUUUGUUCCAACUAUUUAGAGUCAAUUACACGAAUCCUGGUCUGCAAUCAUGCUCUAUCAAGGUCAUAUUCUCAGUGAGACUAUGAUUCCCCAUAUCUUUUCUUACUAGUUCUAACCGUGUCCUUUUGAGCAUAUCCCUUCAUAUUUUUAGCCUUUCGCUUAAGCUAACUCGCACCUCCUAAUAGGUGAUGUACUGGGUCUGCGCUGCACAUCGCUAGCCCACCCAAGUCUAUCGUUUCUCAUCUUAUCGUCUAUUGGAGCCACACCUAAGUUCGCCCAAAUGUAUUCAUUUCGAAUUUUAUCAUUUAUUGUCUUGCUACUCAUCUCGACUAUACCUAAGUUCUCUCAAUGUAUUCAUUUCAAAUUUUAAUAAUUUUAUCUAAUUUUUAGGUUGGCGAGAAUUGUUCUGUAAACAUAAUUUUCCUAAAGGUUUAAAGAAGUGAAAAGAUUUGUUGCUCUCGAGGUGGCAUAUUGUGCAUUUGCUCCUUCAAGUAAAACCCACGUUAAGAAUAUAUUUUGGAUACCAAAUUUGAGGGUGUAGCCGACAGAACCUAAUAACCAACCUCAAAUAAUAAUAAUAAAUAAAUAAAUAACUAGGACUCUCUAUGUGCCUCAAAAAUAUUAAAUCCCAAAGUUGAACAUGAAUCGUCCAAUUUUUGGAGUCUAAACUUUUUUUCUUGAAAUUAUUUGAUGAUAGUUUGGCAUAAAAAAAAUAAAUCCUCCCAAAUUACUCUUUUGCUUGAGGAAGUUGUUGCACAGUAUGCUUCCACAGGACCAUGCUAUACACGCUCUUGAAAGAGAGCGAAAUGGGGGAAUUAAAAAUGGACCCGGUUUCUAUGCGGCCAAGCCUGCAUAUGUAGAAAUGCGGGCCUCUUAAUAAAUAUAUUUUUUAGAUGGAUUUUAAGACUGAAUUUUUAAGGACAUUUAAUUUCUAACAUGGAGAUCAUGAACAUGAAAAAAUAAAUAAAUUAAAAAAAUUAAAAAUAACAAUUCUAGUAAGAAAACAUUUGGACCGAUAGUUUCUAUUAUUUUUAAAUAAAAUACCUACUUGCAUCCAAAUGCUUUACACUUGCUUGACCGCAUAUGUAGAAAUGCGGUCCAAACCGCAUGAAACAAUUUUACAUUAAAAAUUCACGCUCACGCUCCUAAACAUUCUCCCUUGUAUAUGGGAAAGGAUUUUACUAUGUUUACAGGGUAAAAUCUGCACUGCUCAAAUUUUGCUGCCAUGGCCAUUUUGUCUAUGGCAUAUAUUUCAUCUACGCAAACAAGGUACGAAAAAUUUCAAAAAUUUAAAUAAACUGAAAAGUUGUUUCCAAAAGAGAAAAAUAAUGAGCAUAAUUGUUUGAUGAAUAGUCAGAUCUAAGCCUUAGACUUUUCUUUUUCUUUUUUCAAUCCUAGAUUUCGUAGAUGGCCUUAUCCUUAACAAAUAAAUAAUAACAAAAAGAAAACAAUAAUUUCGAGUUAUUAAAGGCCUAUAGCUAACUAUCUCAUCAAAUAGGCAACACACAUUCGUUAUAGGAAAAGUUUAUAUAAGUUUGCAACCUUAAAAUUUAGAAUCACAUAUGCAUCUCAACAUCGAGAUGUAUGAGUAUGAAAAAAAAAAGUUUAUGAGUCCCAAAAAUAGUGCAUAUUGCAACACAUUAUCUAGACCAUCCAUUUUCAAGAUUUUCAUAUAUUUAUAAAUCUACUUAAUUGUAACUAUUUUUGGAAUUUAAAAUUUUUUAAUUAGGUAUGAAAAUAGAUUUUAAGAUAAUACUCAGAAUGUUUUACAAGAAAAUUACAUGUUAUAAUAAAAUUUUAAGGUGCGCCUUAAUUGGAUUGUUUAAGGUUGCAACCUUAUAGAAACCACACCCUUCAUUAUACCGUCUUUAUACUAAAAGUAAAUAGUGUAUUUGUAUAAUUUUCCUUAGAAACACUUCAUUUCUUUUCUGUUCUGUUCUUCUUUUUUUUUUUUUCUUUUUUUUUUCAUGUUUUCAUGAUUAUUUAUUGGGUUCAAGAGAGUGCCUGUGCAAAAACUUGGAGGAAAAACUUACCAUCAACAUGGUAAAUUUUGAGAGGAGUAAACACUAUGUAGAUCCAAAUUGGAGCAUUUUCUAAGUUCCAACCCAAAUCAAUUUCAAGGGUGAAUAGAAGUGAUUUGAGAACUUUGAGGUCAAACAUAAUGUGGUCAUUUGGCCACUGAACUUUCAUGGGUACAGUUUGGUAUUACGGGUUAUGUAGUCUUUAAACCAACUUUUGGUAUGUCUUUUGAUGAUUUCAUGUAAGAUAAGAGAAGGCACCUCUAAAUAUACAUGGAAAAAGCCUACAGUCUUUUAAGAUGUCUUUUGGUAGCGAAAAGCCCCAAACUAAUGAUGGGUAAGAGUUGACACUCCUUGAAUUCGUUAACAACAAUAAAACCGGGAAAAGGCCUAGGGUCGUGGUGGUAGCACAUUCCAUACCUAUGUUGUGGCGUUCAUUUAAAAAACCACUACUUAAUUAAAAAACGGAAAACGGGUAGGGGCCUUUCAUCCUUACUGAAUUGCUCAAAAAAAAAAAAAAAUUGAAGAAGUAGAAGAAGAAGAUGCUAAGCUCAAUACAUACGGGUUUAGAUGUGAGGCCAUAGCCUACUCCAAAUUUGCUCAUAUUGGGACUUUAACGUUUCCUCUUUAACCCUUUGGUGCAGCCUUCCUUUCUAUCUCAGUUGUACAAUCAUUUCAUUUCAUUUCAUGAGAGUAGCAAAAACAAAAUUCUAAUAUUUCAUUCAUUGCCUAUGGAAAUAAGAGAGCAUACCUCUUCUUCAUACACGUGAAUGAAAAAUAAGCAUUUCAAAAGGCAAACAGGAAUGGAUUGCAAGACCGGAUAUGGAAGAGGGAUAAAGAACCUUCUCUAUUUGAGGCUAAACUGAGCUCUUCAAGUGAAAUCAGAUAAAACUAAGCUCAACUGAAUAUUUGGGUGAGAAUUGUGCCAACAAAUGCCUCCUUUGCAUCUCUUUCCUUGAGGUUGGUUUUGAUAAAUGCAACCCCUCACCCCCACAUCAAGGAGCAAUACACAUAUGAGGAAGAUGAAGGUGAAAAUGGCAGAGUUCUUUACUAGUCUAAAGCAAGAGCAAUGGCCUGCGCAUGUGAAUCCCAAAAGUUGUAACCAUUUCAUCAACACAAAGCUUGCCGCCCAAACAAGCUUCCAGUUUGAUAACAAGAAGUCCAGGAUCCUCAUCAGAUCUCUCUCUCUCACACACACACACAUAUAGCAGAAACUCUCUCUCUCAUAUAUGAGAAAGGUAAAUCGGAUGGAUGGAGGAUUGGAUUUCUCUCUCUUGAAAGAGUAACAGAUCUCUCUCUCUUGAAAGAGUAACAGACCUCUCUCUCUCUCUCCUUUCUCUCUCUCUCUUGAAAGAGUAACAGAUCUCUCUCUCUCUCUUGAAAGAGUAACACUUGUCUGUCUUUCUCUCUUAUAGGAGAAAGGAGAAUGGGUUGGUUAGUGGUGGCAAGUAUGGAUGACCAAUUGCAUUUGUGUUUUCUUAUAUUCUUAAACAUAGAGAAAAAAGAGGGUUGAUU